rnacentral:lncRNA from 1 species
GCUCUUGCCUGCUUGCUCUCACUUCACUGGCAAGUCUGUUACUUCACUAGAAUUAGAGCUUGCUUCUUCAGGAUUCCAGGGUAUUUUGAUGAGCAGCUGAGAUGACUGGUGUCACGGACUGUACAACUACUGGAUGUUUGGACUUCAUGUUCAUAGGCAGUCAUUUUUGGAUUAGCUGGACCACAGUCUAAGCCAUCAAAUGACCUGCAUCCACCAGAAAUAAAUUUUUGUCAACUCAACCCAAGUUGGGGUCUUCUGGGAAGAGGCAACCUCAAUUGAGAAAAUCCUCCCAUACAAUUGGCCUGUAGGAGAAUGGUUGGCCUCCGCUCGUGAGAGCUGAGAACUCUACGCACUGUUCUCACAGCAGCAGUCCAAUUCUCCUCCUAAUACAGCCUGACCGAGUUCCAGGGGACCGCAAGCACUUGCCAGCAACUUCUAAAGUAUAGCCAGAUGUUAUUUCAGCUUGCUGUGAAGAGUUUUCACACCACAGUCCCAAGCUUUAAUUUCCUUCAUUUAAAAAACGGUCACUCAGCCAUCAAUCAGUUGCUAAGGCCCGAAAGAGCACAUCUCUCAUCGCAGAUAACCCUAGGUUCUGGCAUGUGCUUCAUUCAUGGAAUCAACCCACAGGAACGGGAAACAGAGCUCACUCGAUGCGAUCUGAGCGAUAGUGUCCACAUGUGUAAGCCAGUCAACAUCUGAGAAGACACUGGAGAUUAAAGCAGGGUCCCUAUUUCAGCACAGCCUGCAAGAAUAAGUGUCUGCCUAUUAUCUCUCAAGAUUCCUUCUAUCUUUUAGUCUGAUGGCCCGAUAGGCAACCAUCAUAGGGUCAGAGAAAACAGAAGUACACAGAAUAUAGUGGCAGAAAGGGAGUGAAGUCAAAAUCAUGAGUCAAUAA